GGGGUUGUGGCUCAGUGGUAGAGUGUUUGCCUCACAUGCAUGAGGCCCUGAGUUCGAUCCCCUGCACCA
rnacentral:tRNA from 1 species